rnacentral:rRNA from 1 species
UACGCAGGGGGCUAGCGUUGUCCGGAAUCAUUGGGCGUAAAGCGCGUGUAGGCGGUCCGGUAAGUCCGCUGUGAAAGUCGGGGGCUCAACCCUCGAAUGCCGGUGGAUACUGUCGGGCUAGAGUGCGGAAGAGGCGAGUGGAAUUCCUGGUGUAGCGGUGAAAUGCGCAGAUAUCAGGAGGAACACCAAUUGCGAAGGCAGCUCGCUGGGACGUUACUGACGCUGAGACGCGAAAGCGUGGGGAGCAAACAGG